rnacentral:rRNA from 1 species
UAAGAAUAUUCCGCAAUGGACGAAAGUCUGACGGAGCGACGCCGCGUGGAUGAAGAAGGCCGAAAGGUUGUAAAAUCCUUUUGUCGGGGAAGAAUAAGCGUGGGAGGGAAUGCCCGCGUGAUGACAUGAACCGGCGAAUAAGCCCCGGCUAACUACGUGCCAGCAGCCGCGGUAACACGUAGGGGGCAAGCGUUGUUCGGAAUUACUGGACGUAAAGGGCAUGUAGGCGGUUUUGUAAGCCUGGCGUGAAAUUCUGCAGCUUAACUGUAGGACUGCGCUGGGAACUGCGAGACUGGAGUCACGGAGAGGGAGCCAGAAUUCCAGGUGUAGGGGUGAAAUCUGUAGAUAUCUGGAAGAAUACCAAUGGCGAAGGCAGGCUUCUGGCCGAUGACUGACGCUGAGGUGCGAAAGCGUGGGUAGCAAAC